rnacentral:rRNA from 1 species
UACGAAGGGGGCUAGCGUUGUUCGGAAUCACUGGGCGUAAAGCGCACGUAGGCGGAUUGUUAAGUCGGGGGUGAAAUCCUGAGGCUCAACCUCAGAACUGCCUUCGAUACUGGCAAUCUCGAGUCCGGGAGAGGUGAGUGGAACUGCGAGUGUAGAGGUGAAAUUCGUAGAUAUUCGCAAGAACACCAGUGGCGAAGGCGGCUCACUGGCCCGGUACUGACGCUGAGGUGCGAAAGCGUGGGGAGCAAACAGG